UAAAAACCAUGGUUCAAGUUCGCAUCAAGAGCACAUGCAUUGAUGCCUAUUGGAGCAGCCUCUGAAACAAUGAUCCUAGCGUCAACUAUUACUGCAAAAACCUAGGGAACUGCUUUCCUCCUAUUGCAACGCAGACAUACCUGCCACUACAAUCCGCUCGGGCACCUGCAUAGCCACAGUGGCAUUUGGAAAUCCUUCCUGGGCAUCCUUCUCCAGGUCAGCAUUUUGAGGAGCUACUUUGAGUUUCUCUGGGACCCUCAUGCGCUGGCUGAUGCCCUCGGUGUACUCCAUCUCAUACUGCAAGCGGUUCAUCUCGGCCAUCUCGGCAGCCGGCGACGGGAACGCAGCCCCGCUCAUUCUGCCAAAGGGAAAAGCAGCCACAUGGGAAACCACUGCAAGGUCUGGCAAGGUGUAUAGGGUUAACACUCCGGGGGAGUAACCCUGAACCUGACCCUAGGGGUCUUGGCCCCUCCCCAGGAGUGGGCCACACUCCAGGUGAUGGUUAGCCCACUCCCCCCACUGCCUGUCCUAUAAAACAGAGGAGCUUCCUGCUCCUCUUCCUCUCUCUUU